CUCAGAGUGAAGGACUCCAUAUGGCCUCAGACUGGAGGAGGAGGGGGGAAGAGGCCAAAGGAGAAGGAAAGGGGGAAAAUUUUGCUGAGGCCAAAAGCCACGAGAGCUGCUGAAUGUCUGAAUGAGAGCAUUGCAUCAGGAGGCCUGUAUGCUAUUUUCAGAGACCACCUUCUUAACACUAUUAAGUGUUCAAGGAUAUCUGUUGAACUAAGUCCUAAGCCACCAUUUUGCAACUCUGUGAACUCACAUGUAGCUGAGCAUGGAUGAGAUACUAGAAAUGUGGAUCUCUGUCAGAGAAAGCAAUUUCAAUUUUUAGGGUUCUGAAUUUGAAAGUGAAGCUCCUGCCUCCUCAAGUUCCAGCCCUCAUCUCUGUUGAAUUCCUGAGGCACUGCAUUGCUUCAGAAGUCACCUUGGUGCACACUUGGCCAUGAGCAGCAGAGCCAGCACUAGGUUCAAUGCUGCCCUGCAGCAAGCAGACCUGCAGAACUGAGCAGUGCUCAGCAGAACUAAAAUAUUUCCAGCUGGAGGG
rnacentral:lncRNA from 1 species